ACGAACGCUGGCGGCGUGCUUAACACAUGCAAGUCGAACGGUAAGGCCCUUCGGGGUACACGAGUGGCGAACGGGUGAGUAACACGUGGGUGAUCUGCCCUGCACUUCGGGAUAAGCCCGGGAAACUGGGUCUAAUACCGGAUAGUACUGCGCGGUGCAUGCCGUGUGGUGGAAAGAUUUAUCGGUGCAGGAUGGGCCCGCGGCCUAUCAGCUUGUUGGUGGGGUAAUGGCCUACCAAGGCGACGACGGGUAGCCGGCCUGAGAGGGCGACCGGCCACACUGGGACUGAGACACGGCCCAGACUCCUACGGGAGGCAGCAGUGGGGAAUAUUGCACAAUGGGCGCAAGCCUGAUGCAGCGACGCCGCGUGAGGGAUGACGGCCUUCGGGUUGUAAACCUCUUUCAGCAGGGACGAAGCGCAAGUGACGGUACCUGCAGAAGAAGCACCGGCCAACUACGUGCCAGCAGCCGCGGUAAUACGUAGGGUGCAAGCGUUGUCCGGAAUUACUGGGCGUAAAGAGCUCGUAGGCGGUUUGUCGCGUCGUCUGUGAAAACCAGCAGCUCAACUGUUGGCUUGCAGGCGAUACGGGCAGACUUGAGUAUUUCAGGGGAGACUGGAAUUCCUGGUGUAGCGGUGAAAUGCGCAGAUAUCAGGAGGAACACCGGUGGCGAAGGCGGGUCUCUGGGAAAUAACUGACGCUGAGGAGCGAAAGCGUGGGUAGCGAACAGGAUUAGAUACCCUGGUAGUCCACGCCGUAAACGGUGGGCGCUAGGUG
rnacentral:rRNA from 1 species